rnacentral:lncRNA from 1 species
ACCGACUGACCCGCGCUCCGCUGGCCCACACGCACCGGGUCGUCCUCUGCUUCCCGCCGCGCCCCGCUCCCCCGCCCGAGCCUGCAGCCGCCUGGCUCGCCGAGUCCAGCCGCGGCCGCCGGUUCCCGCCCCCAGCCCGGGGGGAGCCCAGGGGGCAGGACGGGGAGGGAGGACGUGGCGCGCAGAGGUGGCCAGCGGCGGGCGGGGAGUGUCCCCAAGAGGCCCUGGCGAGGGCGGGGGCGACCGGUCGCCCAAGGACCCUCCCCGCAAGUAUCCCGGGUCCCGGGUCGCAGCCCGGCGCCCCCGAGGGGGCAGAAGCGUCCCCGACUCCCAGCUCCGCUCACACGCACGCCCUCCUCCCUCCACCAUAUGGAAAUCUACAGCCUCCCAAAGUGACACGUCGAAGAUUCCUCGGCCUGGCCGCGCGCCCUCCCCCUCCCGGGCAGCGGUCCUGCCGCGGGGAUCUGGGCGGGGGAGCGGAUUCCUCGGAGCCACGGGCCGGGGAGGAGGGGAGCUCCACGUCCCGCAUCCUCCGCUUUCUUCCCGGGCGAGCGGGGGCAGGCGGGGCCGCCCCCUUACCCGGCCCGGAGCUUCGGGUAGCACAGCGGUCGCGGAGCGACCCGGACUCCGCCGCCAAGUUUUCCUCGGGCAUCCCGGAGCGCGCUGGGGCCGGGAGCGCACUCGGGCAGACUCGGUGUCCCGGCCCGGGCUCCGAAGCGCGGGGACCCGAGAGCGACCGUGGGGUGGCACGUCCCCGGGCAGCCCGCCGCUCUCGCACGCCUUACCUCCCCUCGGGCUGAAACGGGGCUCCGGGCGCCCGCGAUCCGGGUCGCCCACGCCGUCCCAGCCAGCCGCCUGCCGGAUCCCCGCCGCCCCCUGCGCCGCUGCCGCCGCUCCCGCCGCUGCUCGCCGCCGCCUCCUCGGGCCGCCGCCGCUGCUCAAAUAACUACCAGGAGGGUUUGAUGGGGGAUUCCGCCAUGUCAAUGAUGUCGGGACCACAUGGGGAUUCGGGGCCCGCCCACUGCCGUAUGCCUCCGAGUACACACGCAGACACAAUUGCAAGCUCGCUGUAGCUUGGCCAGGCCUCCCUUUCCCGGACUAAGCCAGGCCUGGCUACACACCAGUUCAUUUUGGUGCAGCGGGAUAGAGAAACCUGACUGAAGGGAGUUAGGAGACUCCAGACGAGGUGCUGAUGGCAGAAACAUUACUAUAAAUGCGAUAUUUGCUCAAUAAUUAUUAAAGCUGACUUGUUAGUUUUCACCUAUUACACGUAUUUCCUUUUUCCGUUGUAAUCCCCAGAGGAAUCUUUCAGUGAUUUGUCACUCCUUUAACUUUCUGAUCACGCGGCUAAUAAAACAUAGGCAAAUUUUAAGUUAUCAAAAUUGAAAUGUCUAUUUUCACUUGCUGUACCAGCUAAGCACCUUUACUCUUAUGAGUGAAGACUGCUUCUUUUUUAGUUUCCAUUAAUACUUAGUUUGUACAUACUUUAUUUUUGUUGUUUGAGUGUUCUGGUGUGUGACUUCAGGUGCACACAUGCCAU